GAAGGGGGCUAGCGUUGUUCGGAAUUACUGGGCGUAAAGCGCACGUAGGCGGGCGAUUAAGUCAGGGGUGAAAUCCCGGAGCUCAACUCCGGAACUGCCUUUGAUACUGGUCGUCUAGAGAUCGGAAGAGGUGAGUGGAAUUCCCAGUGUAGAGGUGAAAUUCGUAGAUAUCAGGAGGAACACCGGUGGCGAAAGCGACUCACUGGGCCGACACUGACGCUCAUGCACGAAAGCGUGGGGAGCAAACAGGAUUAGAUACCCUGGUAGUCCACGCCGUAAACGAUGGAUGCUAGCUGCUGGGAAGCCUUAUCUUUUCUCGGUGGCGCAGCUAACGCGUUAAGCAUCCCGCCUGGGAAGUACGGUCGCAAGACUA
rnacentral:rRNA from 1 species